CCUACGGGAGGCAGCAGUGAGGAAUAUUGGUCAAUGGGCGCAAGCCUGAACCAGCCAAGUCGCGUGAGGGAUGACGGUCCUAUGGAUUGUAAACCUCUUUUGUCGGGGAGCAAGGCCCGCCACGUGUGGCGGGAAGGAGAGUACCCGAAGAAAAAGCAUCGGCUAACUCCGUGCCAGCAGCCGCGGUAAUACGGAGGAUGCGAGCUUUAUCCGGAUUUAUUGGGUUUAAAGGGUGCGUAGGCGGAAGGUUAAGUCAGCGGUAAAAUGUCGGUGCUCAACACCGGCCGGCCGUUGAAACUGGUCUUCUUGAGUGAGCGAGAAGUAUGCGGAAUGCGUGGUGUAGCGGUGAAAUGCAUAGAUAUCACGCAGAACUCCGAUUGCGAAGGCAGCAUACCGGCGCUCAACUGACGCUGAGGCACGAAAGCGUGGGGAUCGAACAGGAUUAGAUACCCGGGUAGUC
rnacentral:rRNA from 1 species